rnacentral:rRNA from 1 species
GAUGAACGCUGGCGGCGUGCCUAAUACAUGCAAGUCGAGCGAACAGACGAGGAGCUUGCUCCUCUGACGUUAGCGGCGGACGGGUGAGUAACACGUGGAUAACCUACCUAUAAGACUGGGAUAACUUCGGGAAACCGGAGCUAAUACCGGAUAAUAUAUUGAACCGCAUGGUUCAAUAGUGAAAGACGGUUUUGCUGUCACUUAUAGAUGGAUCCGCGCCGCAUUAGCUAGUUGGUAAGGUAACGGCUUACCAAGGCGACGAUGCGUAGCCGACCUGAGAGGGUGAUCGGCCACACUGGAACUGAGACACGUUCCAGACUCCUACGGGAGGCAGCAGUAGGGAAUCUUCCGCGAUGGGCGAAAGCCUGACGGAGCAACGCCGCGUGAGUGAUGAAGGUCUUCUGAUCGUAAAACUCUGUUAUUAGGGAAGAACAAAUGUGUAAGUAACUAUGCACGUCUUGACGGUACCUAAUCAGAAAGCCACGGCUAACUACGUG